CGUGGGGGGGGCUACGGGGUCAUGUGAGGGGUCACGUGGGGAUCUGUGGGGUCAUGUGAGGGGUCACGUGGGGGGGCUGUGGGGUCACGUGAGGGGCUGUGGAGUUAUGGGAGGGGUCACGGGUGGGGUCAUGGGGUCACGUGAGGGGCUGUGGGGUCACGUGGGGGGUCACAUGGGGGGCUAUGGGGUCAUAUGGGGGGGCUAUAGGGUCAUGUGAGGGGCUGUGGGGUCACAUGGGGGGGGCUACGGGGUCAUGUGAGGGGUCACGUGAUGGGC
ensembl:lncRNA